ensembl:lncRNA
AUGGUUGGCAACAUUCUUAGCCUCUACCCACUAGAUAUCAAUGGGAGUCGCCCCCAAAUAGUGAUCACCAAAAGUAUCUGCAGAUAUUAUUUUCAAAUGUCUCCCAGGGAGGCAAAAUUAACCUCAGUUGUUCCAGAAUCUUAUCGUAUGUAUCACUCAUAUUCACAUUUAAAAAUAUUUCAUGUGUAUGUCUUACCUCCAUGGCUAGAUUAUUUUAGUGCAAGUAUUAGAUCUUGUUUUACUUUUGAAUCCCCAAUAAAGAAUAAAACACCACAGCGAAUUCUUAAGAAAUACUAAAAUUUUAAUUCAGUAUCUAAAAAUCAGAAAAAUAUGAGUUACAUUAUUUGAUCUAAUCUCAAUUAUUUUAAAGUGUAAAUUAAGAACCAUAAAAGUAACGCUAUUUGCCCAAAAUAAAUGUGUGUUGGUGGGAUAGUUCUCUUCCCAGUCAGGUAGUAUAAAUACCCAUCUACAUUGUAAUAAGAGAAUUAGUUAACUUUGCAUCAGCAGAGUAAACAGUAGCCUGUGGUUUUAUUGAGGAUUCUUUAUAUUACUCUGCUUUAAUAAUGCACAUAUGUUUAAGUAAUACCCUUAUAUUUUUACAUUUAAUUAAAAAAUUAUUCUGAAAUACUGUGGUAUAAGACAAGGGUCCCUGACCAUAGAGUUAAGAGAUGAAGGAGUUAGCACAUACCACUGUGUGGUCAGCAAGCCACUUAACUUCAUGGUGUCUCCGCAUCUCAUUUUUAAAAUACUUAUUCUACUAAAAUAAAUAAACUCCUUGACAGAGGGAAUAUUGUCUUGCAGCUACCACAUCCCUGGUGUCCAGCACAAAGUAGGGCAUUUAACAAAUAUUUGCUGACUGACUGUUCAACUGGGAAUAUAAGUGCCAAUUUUCACUUAUUCUGAGAAUAAAAUGAGGUAUUUUUUCGCAUCCUGAAAAGUGUAAAAUUUUAGACAAAUGCAAGAUAUUUUUCUGCCAUAAAAAGCUUAAGGAAUUUAAAUAUUUAAAAAUAGUGAAGUGGAAAGUUGAAAUUAAGAUUUCUGAGAUGUCACCAAAGCAGUAGUUAGGGGGAAAUUUUCAGCAUUAAAUGCCUGUAUUCGAAAAGAUGAAUACUCUUGAAUUAAUGAACUUAGCUUCCACCUUAAGACCAAUAAACAGAAGAACAAAUAAAAUCCAAAGUAAGGAGAAAGGAAAAAAUAAUAGAGCAGAAGCGAAUAAAAUAAUAAAAGAGAAAAAUCAGUAGAGAAAAAAUAAUGAGGCUGGGAGCGGUGGCUCAUGCCUGUAAUCCCAGCACUCUGGGAAGCCGAGACGGACCGAUCACAUGAAUCUGAGCCUUGAAACUGGCCUGGCCAACAUGACGAAACCCCGUCCAUAGUACAACUACAAAAAUUAGCCAGGCGUGGUGUAGCACACCUGUAAUCCCAGCUAUUCGGGUGGCUGAGGCAUGAGAAUCACUUGAACCCGGGACUGGGAAGUUGCAGUGAGCCAUGAUCGCGAUCAUGCCACUGCACUCCAGCCUGGGUGACAGACUCGGUCUAAAAAAACAAAAAAAAGAAAGAAAGAAAGAAAUCAAAAGCUGAUUCUUUGAUGUGAUCAAAAAAAUUUUUUUAAACUCAGACAUAUUGGGAGGGAAAAAGAGAAAUACACAAACCAAUGUUAAGAAUGAAACAGAUGACAUCACUACAGUUUCUAUCGACAUUAGGAUGAUAACACGGGAUUAUUAUACAUGAAUUUCUGUGUAUAAAUUUUACAACUUAAAUGAAAUGGACAAAUCCCUGAAUUAACAAAAACUAUCAAAGCUCAUUCAAAAAGAAACAGAUAACCUGAAUAACCCUAUGUCUACGACAUACAUUAGAUUAGUAGUUAAAAAUCAUCCCACAAAGACAAUUUCAGGCCCACUGGCUGUACUGGUGAUACCAAUCAAACAUUAAGGAAGCAAUAAUUCCAAUUCUAUACCCAUUCUUCCUGAAAAUUAUAAAGGAGUGAAUUCUUCCCAAUUCGUACUGUGAGGCCAGUGUCACUCUGAUGCUAAAACCAGACAAAUACAUUACAAGAAAAGAAAGCUACAAAUCAAGAUCCCGCAUGAACACAAACACAAAAUUUCUACGCAAAAUACUGCCAAAUAGAGUGCAACAAUACAUAAAAAGGACAAUACAUUACAUCCAAGUGGGAUUUAUCCCAGAAAUGCAAGGCAGUGUUAAUAUUUGAAAACCAAUCAACUUAACUCACCAUGUUAACAACUUCAAAAAGAAAAUCCAUAUGAUCAACUCUAUGACACAAAAAUAGCAUUUUUUAUAAUCCAAUAUCCAUUCUUAAGUAAAAGGGAAAAGACAACUCUUGACAAACUCAUAAUUAAAGAGAACUUCUUCAGUUGGAUAAAAGACGUCCAUGGUAAGCCGGCAGCUAACAUCAUACUUAAUGGUGACAGAUGGAAUGCUUUCCUCCUGAGAUUGGGAACAAGACAAGAACAUUCACUUCCACAUUUCUAUUCACUAUUGUGCUGGACACUUUAACCAAUGUAAUUAGGCCAGAUAAAGAAAUAGCAGAUAUCCAGGCUGAAAAAAUACAAGUAAAACUUCUUUUAUUAAAAACCAACCUAAAUGUUUUUGUAGAAAAUCUGAUGGAAUCAACAAGAACUAGUAAAUAAGUUCAGCAGUGGUGCAGGAUACAUUGAUACGGAGAAAUCCGUUGUACUUCUGUACACCAGAAAUGAACAAUAAAAAAGUUGAAAUUAAAAAAUACCAUUUAUGAUCGUCUCAGCAAAUCUGAUAUACCUCAGGAUAAAUUCGACCCAAACAACAGUGCAAGUCCUGUGUAUUACAAAUUUCAAAAUAUUGCCAAGAGAAAUUACAGAUCUGAAAUAUCAUGUCCAUAGUUCGGAUGACUCAACAGUGUUAAGAUGUGAUUUCUCUCCAGUAUCCUCUAGAAAUACAAUGCUCUGGGGGACGAGAAAACUUUGGGAAUUGAUGGGUAUGAUUGUUUCUUCACUGUAACGAUCAUUUCACAAGCAUGUACGUGUCAAAACUUACGAAAUUGUGCACCUUAAAUAUGUACAGUUUAUUGAGUAUCAAUUAUGCUUCAACAAAACUGUUAGAAAAUAAAUUAGUUUUUCAAAAAUGCCAAUAUGUAUCAACAGUUUUAAAUAUAUUUACGUAUUUGACUCAGACUGUAUAUUUUUGGGGUCUAUUCCAGUGUAACAUGGCUGAUGGAAGGCACAUGUGCUUGUUCCUUCACCACAUUUUACUAAAAUAACAAUUAUAAAAUUUUAAAUUUCAUAAAUAAAAUCUAAAAAUUAAUAGCAUCAAUUUUUUAAUAUCCUAAGACACAAAAUUGUCAUCAAAAAUUAGAUUAAUGAAUA